rnacentral:rRNA from 1 species
AUUGAACGCUGGCGGCAUGCUUUACACAUGCAAGUCGAACGGUAACAGGCCGCAAGGUGCUGACGAGUGGCGAACGGGUGAGUAAUGCAUCGGAACGUGCCCAGUCGUGGGGGAUAACGCAGCGAAAGCUGUGCUAACACCGCAUACGAUCUAUGGAUGAAAGCGGGGGACCGUAAGGCCUCGCGCGAUUGGAGCGGCCGAUGUCAGAUGCGGUAGUGGGUGGGGUAAAGGCUCACCAAGCCUACGAUCUGUAGCGGGUCUGAGAGGACGACCAGCCACACUGGGACUGAGACACGGCCCAGACUCCUACGGGAGGCAGCAGUGGGGAAUUUUGGACAAUGGGCGCAAGCCUGAUCCAGCAAUGCCGCGUGCAGGAAGAAGGCCUUCGGGUUGUAAACUGCUUUUGUACGGAACGAAAAGGUUUGGGUUAAUACCCUGGGCCGAUGACGGUACCGUAAGAAUAAGCACCGGCUAACUACGUGCCAGCAGCCGCCGUAA